rnacentral:misc_RNA from 1 species
UUUUCCAUUUCUUUGUUUCCAUCACCACCACUCACUCUCUCUCCCCUCUCUCUCAGUGGAGCUGAGAAAACGAUGUCGUAGAAUAGGAAAACCAAAUCAAACCAACCCCAUGUUUCAUUUUCCUCUUUGUGUAGAUGUGUAAACAAAGAAUCUAAGAUUCUAAUGCUGUAAUUGUGGUAAAAAUCCAAUCUUUUUUGCAUUUCUGUGAUUUUUGUGAAGAAAAGAUUCAACCCCAGAAGAGAAAAAAUGAGCUUGGAUCCAGUUGUGUCUUCUUCUCAAGGGAAUCUUGAUGAGCAGAUUGCUCAGCUUAUGCAGUGCAAGCCCUUAUCUGAACAAGAGGUAAAAGGAUUAUGUCAGAAAGCAAAGGAGAUAUUAAUGGAUGAAAGCAACGUGCAGCCUGUGAAAAGCCCUGUG